GCGUCCCAGUAGCUAAGUUGGAUAAGAGCACUACCUUCCGAAGGUAGAGGUCGUGAGUUUGAAUCUCGUCGGAUGUGCCA
rnacentral:tRNA from 1 species